GAGGAAGGAAGAAAAUAGAAACAUAGGACUGAGGAGAAAUGCUUGGGUUUCAGGUGUUUCACACAUUCUACGCUUUUCUUUUGGUUCUUAGAAACAGAUCAGCUCCUCGGGCCAUCAACAAACAUAUCAGACCCCAAGACAGUCUCACAGCCCCAGGAUUAUACAAUGGAGAAUCUCAUCAGGAUGGGUGUGUCAAUCUUGGUCCUUGUGCUUCUUGGUGUCCUGCUGUUUGAAGCUCAGUACAGUCAAAGACAGACCCAACAUACAGCUGGGAGAGAAAGCAAUGCUUCUUUCAUUGUGACAGAGUCCUGGAAUAAGUCCAAGGAUCUCAGACAGGAGCAUGUUGUCCUCUGAGAAGCUCCAGACAGAAGCUGACUCAGACAGAUACAGACAUCUACAGCCAAUCAGUGGAUGGAGAUUGGGGAUUCUUAUGGAAGAAUAGAAGGAAGGAUUGUUGGCCCUGAAGGGGAUGGGAAUUCCACAGGAAGACAAAAAAGUCAACUAACCUGCAGCCUUGGGACUCUCAAGAGUCUGAAUCACCAACCAAAGAGCAUAUACAGGCUGGAUCUAGGCCUCCCUGUACAUAUGUAGCAUAAGUGUAGCUUGACUUUCAUGUGGUUCCUGAACAACUGGAGUGGAGGGCUAUCACAAUAUCUGUUGCCUGUUUGUGGGAUAUGUUCUUCUAACUAGACUGCCUUGUCUGGCCUCAGUGAGAGAGGAAGCGCCUACCUCUCAGACACUUGAAGUGCCAGGUUUGGUGAGGAUACCAGGUGGGGGGAGG